GGUUUGGUCCCAGCCCUAUAGUCAGUUCUUACUUAACCUACACAUGCAAGUCUCCGCACCCCUGUGAAAAUGCCCUUAAAUCCUAUUGAAUCUAAGGAGCAGGUAUCAGGCACAACAAUUUGCCCAAGACACCUAGCCAUGCCACACCCACAAGGGUUCUCAGCAGUGACCAAUAUUGAACAUAAUCGACAGCUUGAUUCAGUUAGAGUAAACAGAGCCGGCAAAUCCGGUGCCAGCCGCCGCGGCUACACCAGAGGCUCAAAUUGACCACUAUCGACGUAAAGCGUGAUUAAAGAUUUAUUAAACUAGAGCUAAACCCAGAUUAAAACGUAAAACACUUAUCUGAAGGAAACCCGUAUAACGAAAGUUGCUCUACUUUACCCAACUUGAACACACGAAAGCAGGAACAUAAACUGGGAUCAGAUACCCCAUUAUACCUGACUGUAAACUUUAACUUACACCUUAAUCGUCAGGGAACUACGAGCAAAGCUUAAAACCCAAGGGACUUGACGGUGCCCCAUACCCCCUAGAGGAGCCUGUCCUAUAAUCGAUGAUCCCCGUUUAACCUCACCAUAACUAGCUAAUCAGCCUGUAUACUUCCGUCGUCAGCCUACCACGUGAGCGAACAUCAGUUAGCAUAAUGUCCACACAUCAAUGUGCUCCUUAUCGUCAAUACGUCAGGUCAAAGUGCAGCAAAUGUUAUGGGAAGAGAUUGGCUACACUUUUUAACUUAAAAGACACGGAAAACAAAAUGAAAUUUUGUUAGAAGGCGGAUUUAGCAGUAAAAAGAAAACAUUAAGUUCCUUUUAACUCGGCCCUGGAGUGUGUACACACCGCCCGUCACCCUCUUCGAAAAUCAAUAAUAAGUACUUAACUCGUCAUAAAAAAUAGAGAAGAGGCAAGUCGUAACAUGGUAAGUGUACCGGAAGGUGUACUUGGAAA
rnacentral:ncRNA from 1 species